rnacentral:rRNA from 1 species
AGAGUUUGAUCCUGGCUCAGGAUGAACGCUGGCGGCGUGCCUAACACAUGCAAGUCGAACGGGUGUGGUAUCAGGGAAAAGGGGUUUACUUCUUUGACCAGAUAACACACUAGUGGCGGACGGGUGAGUAACGCGUGGAUAACCUGCCUUAUACAGGGGGAUAACAGGGAGAAAUUCUUGCUAAUACCCCAUAGGUAUGUCUGACGCAUGUUGGACAUAUUAAAGCUUUGGCGGUAUAAGAUGGGUCCGCGUCUGAUUAGCUAGUUGGUGGGGUAAAGGCCCACCAAGGCGACGAUCAGUAGCCGGCUUGAGAGAGUGGACGGCCACAUUGGGACUGAGACACGGCCCAAACUCCUACGGGAGGCAGCAGUGGGGAAUAUUGCACAAUGGGGGAAACCCUGAUGCAGCGACGCCGCGUGAAGGAAGAAGGUCUUCGGAUCGUAAACUUCUAUCAGCAGGGAAGAAGGAAGUGACAGUACCUGAGUAAGAAGCCCCGGCUAACUACGUGCCAGCAGCCGCGGUAAUACGUAGGGGGCGAGCGUUAUCCGGAAUUACUGGGUGUAAAGGGUGCGUAGGCGGUAUGGCAAGUCAGUUGUGAAACCCCCUGGCUCAACCAGGGGCUUGCAAUUGAAACUGUCAUACUAGAGUGCAGGAGAGGAAAGCGGAAUUCCUAGUGUAGCGGUGAAAUGCGUAGAUAUUAGGAAGAACACCAGUGGCGAAGGCGGCUUUCUGGACUGUAACAGACGCUGAGGCACGAAAGCGUGGGGAGCGAACAGGAUUAGAUACCCUGGUAGUCCACGCCGUAAACGAUGAGUGCUAGGUGUUGGGGUCUAAUUAGAUCUCGGUGCUGAAGUUAACGCAUUAAGCACUCCACCUGGGGAGUACGAUCGC